rnacentral:misc_RNA from 1 species
GUGAGUCAUCGAAUCUUUGAACGCACAUUGCGCCUCCCGCAAGGGAGGCAUGCCUGUCUGAGCGUCAUUUAAACCAUAGACCCUUUGUGGGUUUGUCAUGGGCUUUGCACGUUGUGCAUUGCCUCAAAGUCAUCGGUCUAACAAGCAGACGAGAUCCAUUAGGACAGACUGUUUCAUUGACCUUAAAUCUCUGACUUGACCUCAGAUCAGGUAGGACUACCGCCUGAACUUAAGCAUAUCAAUAAGCGGAGGA